rnacentral:rRNA from 1 species
GAUGAACGCUGGCGGCGUGCCUAAUACAUGCAAGUCGAGCGAACGGACGAGAAGCUUGCUUCUCUGAUGUUAGCGGCGGACGGGUGAGUAACACGUGGAUAGCCUACCUAUAAGACUGGGAUAACUUCGGGAAACCGGAGCUAAUACCGGAUGAUAUUUUGAACCGCAUGGUUCAAAAGUGAAAGACGGUCUUGCUGUCACUUAUAGAUGGAUCCGCGCUGCAUUAGCUAGUUGGUAAGGUAACGGCUUACCAAGGCAACGAUGCAUAGCCGACCUGAGAGGGUGAUCGGCCACACUGGAACUGAGACACGGUCCAGACUCCUACGGGAGGCAGCAGUAGGGAAUCUUCCGCAAUGGGCGAAAGCCUGACGGAGCAACGCCGCGUGAGUGAUGAAGGUCUUCGGAUCGUAAAACUCUGUUAUUAGGGAAGAACAUAUGUGUAAGUAACUGUGCGCAUCUUGACGGUACCUAAUCAGAAAGCCACGGCUAACUACGUG